rnacentral:lncRNA from 1 species
GGACCCAGCUCUGGGGUUGGAUCCUACCCCAGCAAGCUCUACACCAUGCUUUUGGAGUCCGGGGGUGGGAGGGAGCCUUAAACAUCCCAGCUACAGCUCAGCGAUGCCCCUGGGUCGCUACGAAGGCCAUCCCCGGGGCAGGGGAAGCCGCUGUCCCCUUGUCCAGGCGCCUCCUGACGGCCAAGGCAGAAGUUCUUGGAGCCCGGAUGCAGACGCUACAAUGGCACAACCCUGUGGCAGCGAGGGGAAGAGCAUUAUAGAAAAAGACCUUAUGCUCUAUAAUGGACCAUUUUGGGUAGAAAGGAGCUGCUGCCUGCCAUGCAUCUGAACAACAUCCCAACACUGGAAGGUUUAUGAACCCAGACAAACCUUGCAUCCUAAUGGCUACCUUCCAGCGUGAGGUUGUCCCCCUCCCCCCCAACAGCGAUAACAGUGAUUUAAUUAUGUUUUAGCUUUCUCCAAACCUGGAGGAAGCACAAAAGCAGGUUUUAUUUUUCUUAGGACUGAGCAAGAGCAGUGACGCGUUGGUGCCUGGAGCACUCAGGAACAUUCCCUCCCAAGAGUGUCUUGACAGAGGACAGUCCUAAUCACCUGCACUGUGGUUUUGUUUCGUGAUUUCUGGAUUAACUUCCAGAAUUUCAGAUCACUUAGAACACUUCUAUUAACAUGCCUUUGAGACAACCAAGUUGAUAGCAUUACACACACGUUAUGUGCAUGCUGGAUAGCAUGGAGGGCCUCCAGAUCACUCAGAGUCCUCGUACAGGAUGCGCAUCCGCUGUGCGGGGCCGAAGCCCCGGGGAGGAGUGAAGCUGGGACGAUGCCGGCCGGCGUCCCGUCCUGUCGCUGUCACUCAGAGCCGGGCAAGCGGGGAAGAGCGGCGCACGGCAGCACCUUGGACAGAGCCACACCGCGCACUGCCCAGCCCAGGUGCUCUGCUAUUGCCUAUGAUACCC